rnacentral:rRNA from 1 species
GAAUAUUGGACAAUGGGCGCAAGCCUGAUCCAGCCAUGCCGCGUGAGUGAAGAAGGCCCUAGGGUUGUAAAGCUCUUUCGCCAGGGAAGAUAAUGACGGUACCUGGUAAAGAAGUCCCGGCUAACUCCGUGCCAGCAGCCGCGGUAAUACGGAGGGGACUAGCGUUGUUCGGAAUUACUGGGCGUAAAGAGUACGUAGGCGGCUUGCCAAGUUGGAUGUGAAAGCCCGGGGCUCAACCCUGGAACUGCAUUCAAAACUGGUUGGCUAGAGAUCGGAAGAGGUAAGUGGAAUUCCCAGUGUAGAGGUGAAAUUCGUAGAUAUUGGGAAGAACACCGGUGGCGAAGGCGACUUACUGGUCCGAUACUGACGCUGAGGUACGAAAGCGUGGGGAGCAAACAG